GGCCCUCCGGCUGAGCCCUGAUCUCUAUGGUUUCCGCGGCUCGCUAGAAGGAGUGUGGUCCACCGGAGGACUCCCUACAUUCUUCCUCCAUUACCUCACUGCCUCCGGUGGCUGCUGGGAUACCGGAGGACUCGGGUCCCGGCUCGACUCAGUCCUCCAGCCGCCCGGGGAAUACCUCUAGUUCUUCCCGGCCGCCGCCGCCGCCGCCGCCCCGCCGCUUCCUCCUCCGCCUGCCGGCCUCCUUCGCCCCGUCCCGUCCGCGCAGCGCGUCCGGCCCGCCCGCAGGCCAGCUUCUCUCGGGAGCCCCCACCCAGGCGCAUGGCUCCAUGAAGCAAGAGGAGGAGGCAGAGCGCGAGAGGUCCCGUCCGCCCCAGCCGCGUCUGGGCCAGGAUAAAAGCAAAACCAUAUUCCUGCUGCUGUCAGUUAUGAUGCACUGAGAAAACUUCAGAGACCUAAACUUUUUCCAGAGAAGAGAAGCUUUACUGGUGUUCCAGCCCUAAGAAACCUUUGUUCAAGAAAACGGCAGAUGCUCUGUUGAAUCCACUGGAGAUUGUUCUGAUACUAAGGACAAGUAUCAACCAUCUUUCCUGUGAAAAAUUCCCUCUCGUACUUUAGUUCUGUGGAUCCAAAAUUUAUAGCAUUCUUCUACCACCACAGGGGCUCAUAUGACAUUAACAGACAAGACACUUUUCAGAAAGACAGGCAACGUGUUGGACCUUCCGGAGCUUCUCAGAAGACAGAGGGUUUUCUUUUGAGGAUUUAAACCUCAGACACAGGGAGCUGACCUAUUCACCUUAGAAUCCUCUGGGGCACCCAUUACAGUGUCUGUACCAAGGAGGCAACAAAGAACGGCGGAACAGACUGGAGCAGAAGGACCACCCAGCAGAGCCAAGCCAAAUCACUGACCCUCAGAGGCCUGAUGUGAAUGCUUAUGGCUUCAGUCCAUUGGAUUCUGCAGUAAUCUGCCGAUCUACAGUAUUACCACAGUAAAUAACCGAUAGACCUGAAAACGAAUGCAUGCCUUGUGCCAAAAUUGCAGGAAACCUCACCAGGAGAAACAAUUUUAUAUGAGGGAAUGUACUCUCUCCUUUGCAUUUUCCCUCAAAUCUAUAUUUUUAGCCCCUCACUUGUCUCUACAGAGCCUCAGUUGCUUAAUCUAAUUGCUGACUGAACAUCUCCAGGAAACUGUGUGUACGUGUUUGUAUUCAUAGUAUAUUUAUUUAUUAUCUGUUUACUUCCAUGGGAUAUAGUCUCCAUAAGAGAGUAGUCAUCAUUGUAUUUGUUGAUGCUUAAUAAAUAAUCAUUGAAUGGGC
rnacentral:lncRNA from 1 species